GUGUCUCUCUGUAUCUCUCAGGGCGGAGACGACUCUGGGAAACAUCCUGAAGAAGAAAGGAUGGAGGCGGUCCAGUUAUGUUGUGACAACGAAGAUCUACUGGGGUGGACAGGCGGAGACAGAGCGAGGGUUGUCACGGAAACACAUCAUCGAAGGU